rnacentral:rRNA from 1 species
GCUUAGAGUUUGAUCCUGGCUCAGGAUGAACGCUGGCGGCGUGCUUAACACAUGCAAGUCGAACGGUCUCUUCGGAGAUAGUGGCGGACGGGUGAGUAACGCGUGAGAAUCUGCCUUUAGGUUCGGGACAACAGUUGGAAACGACUGCUAAUACCGAAUGUGUCGCAAGAUGAAAGAUUUAUUGCCUAAAGAUGAGCUCGCGUCUGAUUAGCUAGUUGGUGGGGUAAAAGCGUACCAAGGCGACGAUCAGUAGCUGGUCUGAGAGGAUGAUCAGCCACACUGGGACUGAGACACGGCCCAGACUCCUACGGGAGGCAGCAGUGGGGAAUUUUCCGCAAUGGGCGAAAGCCUGACGGAGCAACGCCGCGUGAGGGAGGAAGGCUUUUGGGUUGUAAACCUCUUUUCUCAAGGAAGAUAAUGACGGUACUUGAGGAAUCAGCAUCGGCUAACUCCGUGCCAGCAGCCGCGGUAAUACGGAGGAUGCAAGCGUUAUCCGGAAUAAUUGGGCGUAAAGCGUUCGUAGGUGGUUUUGCAAGUCUGCUGUUAAAGCGUGUAGCUUAACUACAUAAUGGCGGUGGAAACUGCAAAACUAGAGUGCGUUCGGGGCAGAGGGAAUUCCUGGUGUAGCGGUGAAAUGCGUAGAUAUCAGGAAGAACACCGGUGGCGAAGGCGCUCUGCUAGGCCGCAACUGACACUGAGGGACGAAAGCUAGGGGAGCGAAUGGGAUUAGAUACCCCAGUAGUCCUAGCUGUAAACGAU